rnacentral:lncRNA from 1 species
GCCCCACGGCUCUCAGGGCGGCCCCCGGGCAGACGGGCGGGGCCCGGCGCAGCCCCGCUCGCGGGAGGAGCCGGAGCCCCCAUCCCGUCGCAGGGCAUCCUGUGUGCUGAAUCACAUUCCUUCCAGCUCCCUCUGGUUGUCAGUGGACAAACCCAGCUUGACAUUUUUCCGCAUCUUCCAUUGACUUCCAUCAGCAACACAACAAAGUACUCCUGCUCAUAUUGUUAGCCUGCUAAUGUUAGUGGACCAUCCAGAUAUCUAGAAUCAUGCAGGAAAAGGAACUACAG